GACGAACGCUGGCGGCGUGCUUAACACAUGCAAGUCGAACGGAAAGGCCCUGCUUGCAUGGUACUCUAGUGGCGAACGGGUGAGUAUCACGUGGGUGAUCUGCCCUGCACUUCGGGAUAAGCCUGGGUAACUGUGUCUCAUAUCGGGUAGGAGCCAUCCUUCGUGUGGUGGUUGGAUAGUUUUUUCGGUGUAGGAUGAGUUCGCGGCCUAUCUGCUUGUUGGUGGGGUAAGGGCCUACCAAGGGGGCGACGGGUAGCCGGCCUGCGUGGGUGGACGGCCACAAUGGGACUGGGGAACGGCCCAGACUCCUACGGGGGGCAACAGUGGGGAAUAUUGCACAAUGGGCGCAAGCCUGAUGCAGCGACGCCGCGUGGGGGAUGACGGCCUUCGGGUUGUAAACUCCUUUCGGUAGGGGCGAAGCUGUUAGUGACGGUACCUAGAUAAGAAGCACCGGCUAACUACGUG
rnacentral:rRNA from 1 species